rnacentral:rRNA from 1 species
UACGGAGGGUGCAAGCGUUAUCCGGAUUUACUGGGCGUAAAGGGUUCGUAGGUGGCCUACUAAGUCAGACGUGAAAUCCCUCAGCUCAACUGGGGAACUGCGUCUGAGACUGGAAGGCUUGAGUGCAGGAGAGGAACGCGGAAUUCCAGGUGUAGCGGUGAAAUGCGUAGAUAUCUGGAGGAACACCGGUGGCGAAGGCGGCGUUCUGGACUGUUACUGACACUGAGGAACGAAAGCCAGGGGAGCAAACGGG